rnacentral:rRNA from 1 species
AUUGAACGCUGGCGGCAUGCCUUACACAUGCAAGUCGAACGGUAGCGGGCCUUCGGGUGCCGACGAGUGGCGAACGGGUGAGUAAUGUAUCGGAACGUACCUUUCAGUGGGGGAUAACGUAGCGAAAGUUACGCUAAUACCGCAUAUUCUGUGAGCAGGAAAGCAGGGGAUCGCAAGACCUUGCGCUGAUUGAGCGGCCGAUAUCAGAUUAGCUAGUUGGUGAGGUAAAGGCUCACCAAGGCGACGAUCUGUAGCGGGUCUGAGAGGAUGAUCCGCCACACUGGAACUGAGACACGGUCCAGACUCCUACGGGAGGCAGCAGUGGGGAAUUUUGGACAAUGGGGGCAACCCUGAUCCAGCCAUGCCGCGUGAGUGAAGAAGGCCUUCGGGUUGUAAAGCUCUUUCGGCCGGGAAGAAAUCGCAUGGGCUAAUACCCUGUGCGGAUGACGGUACCGGCAUAAGAAGCACCGGCUAACUACGUGCCAGCAGCCGCCGUAAUAC